GCAUCCGUAGCUCAGCUGGAUAGAGUACUCGGCUACGAACCGAGCGGUCGGAGGCGAGAAACCCCCCCGGAUGCACCA
rnacentral:tRNA from 1 species